CCUACGGGAGGCAGCAGUGAGGAAUAUUGGUCAAUGGGCGCGAGCCUGAACCAGCCAAGUCGCGUGAAGGAUGACUGCCCUACGGGUUGUAAACUUCUUUUAUCAGGGAGUAACGUGAGGCACGUGUGCCCUUUUGUAUGUUCCCUAUAAAUAAGGCAUCGCUAACUCCGUGCCAGCAGCCGCGGUAAUACGGAGGGUCCGAGGGUUUUCCGGAUUUAUUGGGUUUAAAGGGAGCGUAGAUGGGUGGUUAAGUCAGUGGUGAAAGUCUGCGGCUCAACCGUCGAAUUGCAUUUGAUAAUGGCAGUCUUGAGUGCAGGUGAGGUAGGCGGAAUUCGUGGUGUAGCGGUGAAAUGCGUAGAUAUCAGGAGGAACACCGGUGGCGAAGGCGGCUUACUGAACUGUAACUGACAUUGAGGCUCGAAAGUGUGGGGAGCAAACAGGAUUAGAUACCCUAGUAGUC
rnacentral:rRNA from 1 species